GACGAACGCUGGCGGCGCUCUUAACACAUGCAAGUCAAACGGAAAGGCCCUGCUGUUGUUUGGUGCUCAAGUGGCUAACGGGUGAGUAACACGUGAGUAACCUGCCCUUGACUUUGGGAUAACUUCAGGAAACUGGGGCUAAUACCGGAUAGGAGCUCCUGCUGCAUGGUGGGGGUUGGAAAGUUUCGGCGGUUGGGGAUGGACUCGCGGCGUAUCAGCUUGUUGGUGGGGUAGUGGCUUACCAAGGCUUUGACGGGUGGCCGGCCUGAGAGGGUGACCGGCCACAUUGGGACUGAGGUACGGCCCAGACUCCUUCGGGAGGCAGGAGUGGGGAAUAUUGCACAAUGGGCGGAAGCCUGAUGCAGCAACGCCGCGUGAGGGAUGACGGCCUUCGGGUUGUAAACCGCUUUCGCCUGUGACGAAGCGUGAGUGACGGUAAAGGGUAAAGAAGCACCGGCUAACUACGUG
rnacentral:rRNA from 1 species